rnacentral:rRNA from 1 species
UACAGAGGCCUCGAGCGUUAGGCGGAAUUACUGGGCGUAAAGCGUGCGUAGACGGUCACGUAAGUCGGGUGUGAAAGCCCCGGGCUCAACCUGGGAAUUGCAUUCGAGACUGCAUGGCUAGGGUGCGGAAGAGGGAAGCGGAAUUUCCGGUGUAGCGGUGAAAUGCGUAGAUAUCGGAAGGAACACCAGUGGCGAAAGCGGCUUCCUGGUCCAGCACCGACGUUCAGGCACGAAAGCGUGGGGAGCAAACAGG